rnacentral:rRNA from 1 species
GGCGGCAUGGUAAGUUAGAUGUGAAAGCCCGAGGCUUAACCUCGGGCUUGCUUUCGAUACGGGCUGACUUGAGUACAGGAGAGGUAAGUGGAAUUCCUAGUGUAGCGGGGGAAUGCGUAGAUAUUAGGAACCUUAAAAAUGGCGCCCCCGACUUACUGGACUGAAACUGACGCUGAGGCUCGAAAGCGUGGGGAGCGAACAGGAUUAGAUACCCUGGUAGUCCACGCCGUAAACGAUGAGUGCUAGGUGUCGGGGGGGAACCCUCGGUGCCGCAGCUAACGCAAUAAGCACUCCACCUGGGGAGUACGAUCGCAAGAUUGAAACUCAAAGGAAUUGACGGGGGCCCGCACAAGCGUGGAGCAUGUGGUUUAAUUCGAAGCAACGCGAAGAACCUUACCAAGGCUUGACAUCCCUCUGACCGGUGUAGAGAUACACCUUCUCUUCGGAGCAGAGGUGACAGGUGGUGCAUGGUUGUCGUCAGCUCGUGUCGUGAGAUGUUGGGUUAAGUCCCGCAACGAGCGCAACCCUCGUCCAAUGUUGCCAGCGGGUUAUGCCGGGGACUCAUUGGAGACCGCCGGGGUCAACUCGGAGGAAGGUGGGGAUGACGUCAAGUCAUCAUGCCCCUUAUGUCCAGGGCUUCACGCAUGCUACAAUGGCCGGUACAAAGAGCUGCGAGCCUGUGAGGGUGAGCGAAGAGUUUGAUCCUGGGCUAGUAAUCGCGAAUCAGAAUGUCGCGGUGAAUACGUUCCCGGGCCUUGUACACAC